AUGAGAACUUGCCCUUCGGGGUAGAUCUCCCACCCUUUGUAUACCUCCUUUGUUGCUUUGGCAGACCUGCCCUCGGGCUACCGGCUUAGGCUGGUUCGCGUCUGCCGGAGAACCCAAAACUCUGUUUAAAAAUGUCGUCUGAGUACUAUAUAAUAGUUA
rnacentral:misc_RNA from 1 species